rnacentral:rRNA from 1 species
GACGAACGCUGGCGGCGUGCUUAACACAUGCAAGUCGAACGGAAAGGCCCUGCUUUUGUGGGGGGCUCGAGUGGCGAACGGGUGAGUAACACGGGAGUAACCUGCCCUGGACGUUGGGAUAACUUCAGGAAACUGGGGCUAAUACCGGAUAGGAGCUCCUGCUGCAUGGUGGGGGUUGGAAAGUUUCGGCGGUUGGGGAUGGACUCGCGGCUUAUCAGCUUGUUGGUGGGGUAGUGGCUUACCAAGGCUUUGACGGGUAGCCGGCCUGAGAGUGUGACCGGCCUCAUUGGGACUGAGAUACGGCCCAGAGUCCUGCGGGAGGCAGAAGUGUGGUAUAUUGCCCAAUGGGCCGAAGCCUGAUGCAGCAACACCGCGUGCGGGAUGAUGGCCUUCGGGUUGUAAACCACUUUCGCCUGUAACUGAGCGUGAGUGACGGUAAUGUGUAAAGAAGCACCGGCUAACUACGUG